AGGGGAGCACUCGUGAAGGCAGACGGCCUGGAUGAAGUGUUUGUGACAGCCGGGGGUCAGCAGCCCGCAGUGCAUCAUGCUGAAGUUAAAGGACGAGAGCUCGUCAAGUGGGCACGACUGUCCACAGUCCCAAGAGGAUCUGCCACCACUGUGCCAUGACCUGCUGCAGAGAGGAGCCCGUGAUAGAAGACACCCACCUCAAUCCCUCCACGACACCAGGCACUAAAGACGGAGUAGGGGCUCCAAGGCUCCCUCAGGGUCUGGAACACUCUGGCUGCUCCUAGAACCCUCUGCGUAGAGCAGCAUCACAGAGUGUCAAGGCAGGUAGACACCCCACUACCAACCACCGCAGAGACGCAGAAACCAAACCAAGCAACAAAGAGAGGGAAAAGAAAAGAACAGCUCUGAAGAGGAGGGCAGCUCCAGCUCCAUGUUGGCACAGAGAACAACUCCUCUCGAAGCCUAGGAAGGUGAAGAGAGCGGCAAGUGGCCAGAGCUGAGCAGCCUCCGUGCAUCCAAGAGUUUGUCUUGUAGAGAAACAACCUUGCUGCACCGGAGAUCCCUGCAGUAGGCGGCAAGUUCAACUCUCAGCCCUGCCUCUAACCCGUGAGAACUUAGGAAUAACAGACUCUCUGCCGCUCUGUGUGAGAGCUGUUGACUAUUGGGAAAGAGGUCACGUGAAGGUCUUGGCACGGAGGAGUCGUAGCGGCUUUCAUUCUCAUGUUUCGUUCCCUGACUUUCCCUCCCAUGCUCUGUUGUGCUUGUCUCUUCCUCCACUCAGACGCCUGGUGCCCUGAGUAGCAGUGUCCUCUCUCGAAGCCUUACACACACACACACACACACACACACACACACACACACACACACACGGCAUAGCACACAGGAUGCAGGCACAGGCAGAGUCUUGGAGACCCAAGGAUUUAAGCAACAAAGCAGAAACAAGAGCCACCCCUCAGCAGGCACAGGGGCGGCCUGCAUUUGCACACAGUGUGUGUGGUCUUUGACCUCGGCUUCAAAGGCUCUACUAGAGGUGAUGCCCAUAUGUUUGCUGGUGUCUUAUGCUCUGUCUCCAAAGGAGAAGCAGCCAAUGCCACUGAAGUUUUAUACUAAAUAAAUAAAAUAAAACCCUCGUGUUUUCCACCGAGGAAGACAAAAUACAGCACAUGAGGUUCAGCUGCCAGCCAGUCAGUAUUCACAGCAUAUUAAUCAUGAGUGGGGGGGCAUUUUCCACACCUGGGUACUGAGUACUGAGCACCAGGACUAGCCGCGGCGCUGGAGGCUAAAGCGUUGGCGCGCAGCCUAACUUACUGCCUGCAAUAAUCCCCCAAAUGAGCACUCUCUUUCAGAGGUAGGUAGGGGAAACUGAGUCACAGAGAAUGAAUUGGGAUCUGAACUAGGCUUGUUUAACUUCGUAGCUUAUGCUUAUGAACCAGGUGAUGGGGAAACCUGUGGGACUGAAGGGUAGGGACUGUCCAGGGCUCCAGUCUUCUUUAAAAAAAAGUGAAAUGCCAGUCAUAUUGUGUAUGUGUGGGAGGUGUGUGCUGGGUGGGUCUUUUGGGGGAGGGCAGGGGGCAGUGUGGUCACCAACCCUACCUCCACAUGCUGUCUUCAGGAGAGCUGAGAGCCUCUUCCUGAAGUCAGACACCACACGGAAAGGCAUUUCUGCCAUGUGGAUGUCUUUGCAUUGGUAUCUGCAGGGAAGUAGAGGCAGGCACUCAUGCCCUGUUCUUCGCAGACAGUCAAGAGACCCUUGGCAAGUAAAAGA